UAAAAAUUAGUUAAUAAAUAAUAUUAAAAUGUCAUUUUAAAGUAAUUAAUAUUUUUAAUAUUUUUAA
rnacentral:tRNA from 1 species